rnacentral:rRNA from 1 species
UACGGAGGGUGCGAGCGUUAAUCGGAAUUACUGGGCGUAAAGCGCGCGUAGGCGGUUUGAUAAGUCGGGUGUGAAAGCCCCGGGCUCAACCUGGGAAUUGCAUUCGAUACUGUCUGACUCGAGUCUGGGAGAGGGAAGCGGAAUUCCGGGUGUAGCGGUGAAAUGCGUAGAUAUCCGGAGGAACAUCAGUGGCGAAGGCGGCUUCCUGGCCUAAGACUGACGCUGAGGUGCGAAAGCGUGGGGAGCAAACAGG